UAGCGUUGGACGUACAUGUUUCUUUGUGUGCCAGUUGCAUUAAAUACAGAGUAAAACGAAGAACGCUAGUAAUUUGUUGAAUUUGGCUGCAUCUGCUUGUUAGUUCCGUUGAUUUGUAGAUUUUUCCUCGCAUAUUAAAAGACUGUCGUGAAACUGACGUUUAUUACGCCAGUGUUUCGUCGAAAUUUUAAUGUCUAUUCGAUUAAAAUUAACGACAAGUAGCGGAUGUUUUGUUCGUAUCAUGAAUUUAGUCUGUUAACCUUAACAGUAAGAGUCAGUGGUAUCAGAGGUGUCAGCGGAUUGAAAACUUUGGCGCACGUUGCAAGUUACACUUGAGUUUUUCCACUAAGUUUCCAGUGAAAAUUCGUCAGCUGCGGCUAGUCGACACCUGGGCGUUAUAAAGCGUCUAUUACUCAAAACUUACAACUUUCUUGGCUUUGUAACUCUACGCCUUUACGCCCCAAAUAUUAACUUUAACACACCGAUGCCAGGAUAAUAUUGAUUGUUUUUUCACGGUACGCUCUACGGAUAUAAAAUCAUACAACUAUGUGAAUUAUAAAUUUAUCAAAUUGCAAAUUCAUUCUAAAAUUGCUUGUAACGACAAGUGGCGAUUAAUACGACUUUAACAAACUAUUAAAGAAGAGGAAGAAAAUGAGAAAUCCCAUCGAAGAGGAAGACGAUUAAAGGAAAAGAACGUCCAAUAAUUACGUCUUAACUUUUAACCGCUUACAAAUCAAGAUCUCCGACGAAGAUUCCACGACCGACCGUUCUCCAGUUUUCUACAGCCGCGUCUUCAAGUAUAAAAACCUACGAAUCAGUCAAUCAGAUUAAUAAUCGAAUAAUAAUCAGUCGCAGAAGUUGCUCGACGCCUCAACCGUUCUCAUUCUCCGCUUCGUUUCCCUCGUUCGACUUGCACCGAUGAAUUCACGCGCGAAAAGACGCUCGCUCGGUAUAGAAAGCUGAACUGCCGGAUAUGUACCUGGAAAUUGAUAAUUGCACGAUCAAAGUGCCAGAGGAUUAAUAAGAGGGAAUUUCAAGGGAAGAUCGUUUGUGGAAUUUAUUUAGAUUGCUAAUUUCGAUCAUUUGACCCUUAACUACCAACGUGACCAUGUUUCUGUCACAUUAUCCACGUUAUUU